CAGCAGCCGCGGUAAUACGUAGGUGGCAAGCGUUGUCCGGAAUUAUUGGGUGUAAAGCGCGCGCAGGCGGAUAGGUCAGUCUGUCUUAAAAGUUCGGGGCUUAACCCCGUGAUGGGAUGGAAACUGCCAAUCUAGAGUAUCGGAGAGGAAAGUGGAAUUCCUAGUGUAGCGGUGAAAUGCGUAGAUAUUAGGAAGAACACCAGUGGCGAAGGCGACUUUCUGGACGAAAACUGACGCUGAGGCGCGAAAGCCAGGGGAGCGAACGGGAUUAGAUACCCGCGUAGUCCCUGUCUCUUAUACA
rnacentral:rRNA from 1 species